rnacentral:lncRNA from 1 species
CUGGCAACUAAGACUACAGGAAAGACAAGAGAAAACACCAUAAACACCUAAGUCCACUUGCCAGCACUGACAGAGAUGACCAUUCAGUAUUGUCAAUUCCCCGGGGAUGACAGACAAGAAAAAGCAGAUGGCUCUGAAGACAGCAGCCGGCUAUGGAAGCUGCAGGGAAUUUGGACAAAAGGAGCCCAGAUCUCUUACAGCAGAACAUCCCCAAGCACCAAGGACCUGUGGUUGGGUGCAUCUGCCUGGAGUACGAAAACAGAGCAGCUCUCCUCAGAAGAUGUCUGCACCAGCUGACAAUGUUUCAGAUGGCAGCUCUACUACUU